AUUGAACGCUGGCGGCAUGCCUUACACAUGCAAGUCGAACGGCAGCACGGGUGCUUGCACCUGGUGGCGAGUGGCGAACGGGUGAGUAAUACAUCGGAACGUACCUUAUCGUGGGGGAUAACGCAGCGAAAGCUGUGCUAAUACCGCAUACGCCCUGAGGGGGAAAGCGGGGGAUCGCAAGACCUCGCGCGAUUAGAGCGGCCGAUGCCUGAUUAGCUUGUUGGUGGGGUAAAAGCCCCCCAAGGCGACGAUCAGUAGCUGGUCUGAGAGGACGAGCAGCGACACUGGGACUGAGACACGGCCCAGACUCCUACGGGAGGCAGCAGUGGGGAAUUUUGGACAAAAGGGGCAAACCUGAUCCAGCAAUGCCGCGUGAGUGAAGAAGGCCUUCGGGUUGUAAAGCUCUUUUGUCAGGGAAGAAACACCGGCUCUAACACAGUCCGGGAAUGACGGUACCUGAAGAAUAAGCACCGGCUAACUACGUGCCAGCCGCCGCCGUAA
rnacentral:rRNA from 1 species